rfam:Nematostella vectensis strain CH2 x CH6 NEMVEscaffold_279_Cont22159, whole genome shotgun sequence.
GCCGAAAUAGCUCAGUUGGAAGAGCGUCAGACUGAAGAUCUGAAGGUCCCUCGUUCAAUCCGGAGAGUUUGUA